rnacentral:rRNA from 1 species
GACGAACGCUGGCGGCGUGCUUAACACAUGCAAGUCGAACGGGAUAAUUUGAGAGCUUGCUCUUAGAGAAUCUAGUGGCAAACGGGUGAGUAACACGUAGACAACCUGCCGACAGGAUGGGGACAACAUUCCGAAAGGAAUGCUAAUACCGAAUGAAGCGGAGGAGAGGCAUCCCUCCUCCGUGAAAGAUGGCCUCUGAAUAUGCUAUCACCUGUCGAUGGGUCUGCGUCUGAUUAGCUAGUUGGUGAGGUAACGGCUCACCAAGGCGACGAUCAGUAGCCGGUCUGAGAGGAUGAACGGCCACAUUGGGACUGAGACACGGCCCAGACUCCUACGGGAGGCAGCAGUGGGGAAUCUUCCGCAAUGGGCGCAAGACUGACGGAGCAACGCCGCGUGAGUGAAGAAGGUCGUCGGAUCGUAAAGCUCUGUUGACGGGGACGAACGUGCGAAGGGUGAAUAAUCCUUUGUAAUGACGGUACCUGUCGAGGAAGCCACGGCUAACUACGUG